rnacentral:tRNA from 1 species
GGGGCUGUGGCUCAGAGGUAGAGCACUCACCUAGCAUAUGUGAGGCACUGGGUUCGAUCUUCAGCACCCCA